rnacentral:sRNA from 1 species
CUGCUUCUUGCUUCAACAGUGUUUGAAUGGAACAG